CGUUCUAUUUGGGACUCGAACUCAAUACUUUUCGCUUCAAACGCAAUCAUGUUAUCCAUUUGGCCACUG
rnacentral:tRNA from 1 species